AUGUGGGAGGCAGUCCAGGACAGCAACGUCGACCACCUAGAGGAUCGACGGGCGCUGGACGCCCUCAUCGCCGCAGUCCCGCCCGAGAUGCAGUUCUUGCUUUCCAACAAGCGGACUGCCAAGGAGGCUUGGGACGCCAUCGCCGCAGCACGCAUCGGCAGCGACCGUGCUCGCAAGUCCACCCUGCAGGCACUUCGUAAGGAGUGGGAGAACCUGGGCUUCAAGCCAGGUGAGGACGUUGAUGACUUUGCUCUCCGUCUCAACACUCUGCUGCAGAAGAUGGUGAAGUUUGGCGAUGCCACCUACACCGAGGAGAGAGCUGUCGAGAAGCUUUUUCGGUGCAUUCCCGAGAAGUACAAGCAGAUGGCUCGCUCGAUCGAGUCGUUGCUGGACCUCUCCACGAUGACGAUCGAGGAGGCGAUAGGUCGACUCAAGGUCGUCGACACCGACGAGCCACAGCCCCCCUCGGGGCCCGUCACCACCGGCGGGAAGCUGCUCCUAACUCGGGAGCAAUGGGAUCCCAGCCUUGGUGACAAGAAGGGGGAGCCUUCCUCCUCGACGGGCGGCCGCAAGCGUGGCAAGCAGCGUAAGGCGCGAAGAGGCCCCCCGGGCAGGGCACAAGGACGUGCCGAAGGUGACGCCCGCGGAGGCGCCAAGGACGGCGCCGCUGGCAAGCCCAGGCCGGCACAAGACAACAGUUGCCACAACUGUGGCCGGUUUGGCCAUUGGGCCAAUGAGUGUCGGCAACCACGAUAA
rnacentral:rRNA from 1 species